GCCACUGAUCUUGUUGUUCUAACAAUACCCAAACUGGGCAGACCAAGCAAUCCAGAGCAGAGAAAAACAGUCCACAGGAACACAGAAAAGGUCUUUGAUGUUUGAUAAAACAGAUAUCUGUGAAUUUCAAGGGGUGGCAGAGAGAGAGGUUUUCGUCUUUCUUUUUCUGGUUUUAGGUGUUGCUGCUUUUGCAUAUAGAAAACAGAGAACCCAGAAAGGAAAUUCAAGGGAGAAACUUUGGUUUUCAUCAGAGAAUUCAGCUGGUAUUGUUUUAGCGAAUUCGUGCUGAUAACGUGUUAUAAAUGUAGAGCGAAAUUGAGAGAGAGAAUGAAGAGAAUGUUUUGUUAUCUUAUUGAAUGUUUCUGUCUGUGUUACAAUGGAGAGGGAUCACUCCUUUUAUAGGCAAAACCUAUUCUAACUUGUGGGCUCCACAAUUAUUUACAACAUUAACUUCAGUUCUUUGAUCUAGUUUGUUCAUGUCCAUUGUCAAUCUUUGCGAGUGUUCAAUCUAAUUAUGGAUCACCAGUGUUUGGGACCCACACAUUUAGUUU